rnacentral:rRNA from 1 species
CCACCUCCCUCCACCGCGCGCCGCCCCUCUCCUUCCCCGCGCUGGCUACCUCCCUGCCCCUCGCGCCGAACGCCUCUCUCCACCGUGCGCCACCCUCCUCCUUCCCCCGCGCCGGCCACCUCCCUCUCCCGCGCGCCGGAGGCCGCCUCCUUUCCCCGACCCUCCGGACGCCGCCUCCUUCCCAGAUCCCGGCACCGCCCUGCAACACAACCGGCGCCACGGCUGUUGCCCCGCACCAUAUUCAUGCGCUGCUACCGCUCUACCACCGUGUACAGGCAGUUCAACGCUCCAACCACACGCCGUUCAAUCUCUCCAGCGUGGACACGCCAUUCCACCUCCUUCUAGUUGCCUCUCAUCCCGGUAUGGCCAGGGCGUUGGGUUCGCCGCCGCUGCGACCAGCAGUCCAACCCGGCCGCCCCAGGCCGUUCACCGUCGCAGCUCCCAGGCCGACUGUGUCGAGCCACCUUCCGCCCGCACCUUGGGCUCCCGUAUGCGUCCCCUGCCCAAGCUGGUGCACACGUCCCUGCCCACCGUCCCUCCUCUUUGUUCUUCACUACAUAAGGUUUUUUUGAGUGCACGCCAUGUGUUUGCUAAAAUGCCUCAGUGCACUCGCCUACUAGUUUUGAUGUGUUCAUGUUCGUUUGUAGCUAAUGUAAAAUCAGCUUUCUCUUGAGGCAGGGACAAAGAAGUGAGCCAAAAAGAUGAAUGACAGUUUGUUCACAAGGUCAUCUGCUCAACAAGAGAAGCAUGUACUGCUCAGUACAUGUAUAACUAAUGGGAAGGUUCAAAAACCAGAACUCAUCAAGUUCAACGUUGAUGGUACUGUGCACAUGCAAAAUUAGAUCAAUAGUAUUGUUGAACAAUUCCUACUCCUCAACUCCAGCGUCCUCCCUCCAUCCCGCACUGCCGCCUCGCCACCUCGCUCAACCUUGCCAACGUCCUACCAUCCCUGGGAAUGCUAAAAGGAGGGUAUGUUUUCCAAGCUGACAUCUGCAAGCCCUCAUUAGGACAAGCAAAGUGCAGAAAUAAGUUCUGACCCUGAAAACUGCAGAGUUGGACUUCCUCGUAUUCAAGUGCUCGCAACUAAGCUUCACUUCUGGUUUGUUUGAAUUAACUGGUCCAGACGUCUCAAGCUGCUAAGGCCUACAUCUCCCUGCCAAUGUCUCAUCGCCUGUGCCGACAUGGUCGUGGUAAGUUCGUUGGCGUAGUUCCUAUGCUUUGAUGAGGUCAAGCCCACUGUCGUAUUAGUCGCCACAACCUCAUAUCGUUGCCGCCAAGGUUUCCCCUCGCUCUCUCCCCUGAAUUCUCUUGAAGAACAUCCAUUUAUCUCGCUGAAUUCUUGAUAGCAUGUUCUAAAUAAGCUUGUAUUCACUCCCUAAGUACUCCUAAAAAGCACUUUUAUUCUAAUUAUACGAAUUUUAUACUUAUGGGAUGUUCAAAUAAACCAGUACACACGUGUGGUGCCGUCUAUAUAAUUAUGUAAAGAAGAUCUAUAUGUGUAAGUUAUCUGAUAAAAGAAAGAGGAAAAUCAACUUGCAAAUUUAGGGAAACAUGUGUACCUUGAGAAAAGUUCACAGAAUAAAUGCUAGGAGGGUCAUUUUGUGUUUGUUUAAAUGUCUUCAGUGCAAGUGUGGAGGGCCGGUAAGUUCUACUACCAGUCUAAGCCAAGUUCAGGAGCAUUGCCACUGAUGGCAAGGACAACGAACCAACGACAUCGGAUCAUAGGUCGAAGGAGUCUGGGUCAAGGCGCCAUGACUGGUUAUUGUUGUAUGCUGGUGUCGUGCUUGUUGAUGCGGACUAGCAGAUCAAUGUAUAUGCAUGUUGUUUGCUUUUGACAUGGUAUAUAUAAACUAUUGGUACAAAUUCUAGUACCUAUAUCACAAAAGUUCAUUGCGAAAAAAAAUAUCAGUUCAAUGGAUACAUUGUAUCUGUUUAUCACAUAUACUUGCGAAAGAGUUCAAAAUGUUCUUCCCUUUCUGGAAAUUACAUGUGAUUAUUCAUUUCUUUUUGGGCCAUACAAACAACAAUAACUCAUUAGGCUUGUAUGGCUGAAUUUCUAUUCAUUUGCUCGUAUGACUGGAAUGCAUCUUUGCUUGUAUUAUCUCUUGUAACACUAAGAUUUUUUUAUGUUGUCAUGUCUUUAGGAGCGCCCCGGCCGAUCACAGCCACCACCACAGGCCGUUCAACGCCACCUCCGAGGAAAACCAUAUCCAAAAAACAGAGUAAAGUCCAAUAUGUGAAAAUAGCUCAGUACAAACACACAAAUGGAUCAGUACGAGUACUCUGUUUUUCGUCGAAAUACUAUUGUUUGAACUGAAUCAUCUGAAUUGAAGCACAGUGGCAUCAAAACCAAAUAAUUUCCAUAUCAAGGUUCAGUGUGGAUUUUACACUUAUGAAAUGAUUUUCACCCUAACAAACUAGCUUCAAACAACCUUUUAGCAUAAUGUCGUGCCUGUUGAACACCUACUGAUUUGAUUCAGCAACUUCUACUGAUGUCUAUAAUCGUACAACAGUUUGGAUUCCUAACUGAAACAGAUUAGCAGCAAAAGUUUCAGCAAACAAUCUGUUUUUUAGAUUGCUAAAAAGAAACCCAAAACAUCCGGACAAGUUGACUACUACAAAUAAGAGUUUCUUGCCAAAGGGAAGAGUUAGGAAGUGGAGGGGCUCUCACGAGGUGUCCCGGCGGCGACGACGAUGACGUGGAGGCUCUGGCUAUUGUUGGGCAGCAUUAACAUUUUGAUAGUCCUUCUGCAGGGCCCAAACCCACUAUCGUGCAGAAAAAGAAAGCAAAGCCCCAACCAUCAGCUGCUCAAUCAUCAGGGUCUGAUGGCCGAUGGAGAAGCGAAGCGAAAGACGGUUAGGAAGCGCAAGAGAAGUGGCAAAGACAUCAGGUCCAUGUGUAUUUAACAGCAAGUCCAUGUAUUACUACAUGAGAAGUACUGCUAUUCCCUCACUGGAUUUGCAGGCUCACGACCAUCCUCUAACACCCCGUCAGUGCCACCUAUUUGAAGGAGCUCCGUGAGCGUGUACUUCUCCUGUUCGACCUCGACGCUUGUGGCAGUCCCACAAGGACGAGUGUGGUCUACGAUCGACCAGUUGGUUCCCAAGCGAGUUCCUGGCUGAAGGUGGGCUUCCAUGUUGAGGUGUGGAACGCAAUGUACAUGGAGAUCUUGAUGGAGUACGAUGAUGGCGAUGUGGCGCAGGUGGACCUCAUGGAGUUCGGCUGGGCUGGCGGCGGUGGACGCGGAUGCAUGAGUUGUGGGGCUCCAUCUGUCGCUCGACCACCGCUUACUCCCACUCUGUUCACUGGUUUUGUUUUCACUGUCACGCCUGUUCCUCGUCAACCUGCAGCAGCAGGAGACAUGAGAUCACCUCCGGCACCGCUGGUCACAUGAAGGCCGUCAAAAAUGAAGAUGGUGAACUAUGGGAGUACAUCAAGGUCGAAAAAGCCCUUCAUCUGCAUCCAUCUGCGGGAGGAACACUGCUUUGACAUCAGGAACAUUUUCCUCCACUAGAGCCACUGCGGCCUACGGCAGCCCAUGGUGGCGGAGUUCGUCGCGUCCAUCAGUCCAACCCCAUGGCUUCAGGGCAUCCGAGUUUUGUCGCGGCCAUCAGUUCGGACACCUGCGUCACUGCGUGUGUUGCAGCCACACCCAUUUGUGUCACUGCGUGCUCCGUCACCGGCCUCCUGCGCGCCGUGACCCCUGCCACACUCCUUCCUCUCCCUGAAGCUGUUCGUGCCCUCCCAGGCUUGAUAUCCUGCUGUAGCGAUGAGCUCCUGUACAUCGCCGAAGUUCCAUACCUGCUCAACGGCACCAGCACGAGGAUGCAGCAGCUAGGCUGAACCCCAGUUUGUGCCUCAAGGUCAAGUACGCGUACGCCUGCGAGAAGGUUCUCCGGUGCGCCAAGUAUUGUUGGCAGCGAUGCCUGCUUACGUCUUCCUCGUAUGAUUCACCAAGGCCGCGUCCUCCUCUUGAGAUAAGAAGAGCGACAAGGAGAUGGAGAGCACGGUCUUUUUUCCGUGGAGCUGGCUGCUGCAGUACGGCCUAGUCCAGUCUAAGCCCUCCAUGGUUGCUGUUGCUAUUUCCGCAACCAGGCUACCCCGAAGAAGACCCCUAUGUGGACUGACAAUCUAAAUUAUAGUGUGUGUUCUUUAUUUAUAAUUGAAGUUCAAAAAUAUCAUUGGCAGGGGUACAGAAAUGAUUAUAGUCGUUAUAGCAAAAAAAAAGCGCAGAAACUUGAAGAACAAAAUUAUUGGUACACAUAAACAAAUUGGAUUUAUGUGUUAUGUAGUAUUGGUACUUAAGAACAAAAGUUCAGAUUUCAAACUUUCAAUAGUUUAAUGCUACGUAGAAAGGAACAUAAGUCCACCCUACAAAAAAACCCAGUAAAUGCAUUUCGGUUAUGAUCUAAAUUUCUUUUGGUCCAUCUCUUUUAGUCUCUAACAGAGAACUUCCGCUGAUAUUGUAAUAAUCGAUAGUUUUUUCAUCUUUAGCUCAUUAAGUGUUAAGAUUUCAAUGAAGUAAAAUGCUUCUAAGCUUUGGCCAUUUUGGUUAUUUUCAGGAUUUUCUAGAUCGGGGAAGGUGCGGAGCUUGCCUGAUUGCUUGCUACUUUGCAUGUUCUGUUUACCCACUAUGCAUGUGUUGAUGUUGCUGCUUCUAGGAGCCCUAAAUUUUGUACCACGCCGACAAGCCAGGCAGUCGGUCUUUGCAUCACGAACUGGUGCAGUUUGAUCUUGCGCAAGCGGGAAAUUCCCUGAUGCCGAGUGUAUCAGUACCACCCUACGCUCCAAGCAUGCCUCCUCCUGGUCGCCCAUCAGUUCUCUUGUUCUUGCUGCUUCUCCUAACAUCACCAUAAAAGUUUUGCUAGGAAAAAAAUGCGUGGAUAAAGAGGAUUGCAGUGACAGUAAUUUUGGUUGCCAUUUCUCUCUAUAGCAGAUCGCAUCCGUACAAAAAAUGCUACUGCAGUUUACUCUAUGUAAAAAAUUAAUAAGGUUCAAUUCACAAAAACAUGUGGAAGUUCGUUUGGAAAAUUCUGCAGCCUAUUUGAUUACGCCAAGAUGUACAGGAUGACAAUUCUUUAUUGUGUGCCUUCAGCACAAUUUAAAUUAACUAGUUGACCAUAUGUCUAAUGUUUUUCUUUUGUUUACAGAAAAACUAAUAUGUGAGGAUAUUUCAGGUUUCUUUGCGAACUUGUAGUGUUACUGUACAUGAACUUGUACAUUACCUUGUCAUCAGUUCAUGUGUAUGUGAUGGUAACCAAUUACCGUUGUAUUACUGCAGCUGCUCUAUGUAAUUAGCCCCUUUGUUGGGUGAAUCUCAUACUAUUUGCUAGCUUUGGCAUUGUAAAAACACAACAAGUUCACAAUUUAAAAGGUUGUAAGUUCAACAUGACGUAUAUAAGUUUGGGAAAAAAAGCUCAAACAAAAACAAACCUCAAAAAAAUUCAAAUGGUAAAAAUUUCAAGUCGUACAAUGAGAGAAGUCCAGAACAUCAUUGCAAAAAAAUGUUGAGUUAAAAAAACAAAAAAAAAUUCUUUUUGAGAAAAUAUCAAUCAGCUCAACGUUAUAAACCAUGCAAGUUCGAGGACAAUGAUAAUGUAAAGCCUUGGAAAUUAUGAGGAAAACCAUACUGAAAAAAAGAGUAGUCGAUUUUGUUAAAACACGCUCAGUACAAGCGCAUACGGACAUCAGUUCAAGUACUCUUUUUUG